rnacentral:lncRNA from 1 species
GAGAGAUUGACGGGGACGUCACUCAUCGCAUAGGAGCGGGGUGGUCAAAGUGGAGGCUUGCAUCAGGAGUCGUGUGUGACAAGAAAGUUCCACAGAAACUCAAGGGGACAUUUUAUAGAGCUGUGGUUAGGCCUCCCAUGUUGUAUGGGGCUGGCCAGUGAAGAACUCUCACGUCAGAGGAUGAAGGUGGGGGUAGCCCCGGUGGAUGAGAAGAUGCGAGAAGCGAGGCUGAG